AUGGUCCAGAUACUAUCACUCAUCCACAACAAAAAUGGGAAUCUGAGUAGCAUGCCCUACAUACCAGCUGAUGUCACAAACCUAAAGGCAAAGUACCGUAGAGAGAGCAAGUUGGCUGACAUAGAGGCCACAGUGGCCUACUUCGAUGAGAAAGCGAAGGAAGAUCCAGAUUUCUUCUACAGGAUAAGGUUGGACGAUGAGGACCGUGUCAGGAACAUGUAUUGGGUGUAUGAUGCUGCAAGAAGAGCCUACAAACAUUUCCGAGAUUGCAUUUCAUUCGACGCGACGUAUCUCACUAAUGUGUACAAGAUGCCAUGCACUCCAUUCAUAGGAAUAAAUAACCACAAUCAGUCGUUGUAG
rnacentral:rRNA from 1 species